UACGGAGGGUGCGAGCGUUGUCCGGAAUCAUUGGGCGUAAAGGGCGCGUAGGUGGCGGGACAAGCGUGCGGUGAAAGCUCGGGGCUCAACCCCGAGUCGGCCGUGCGAACUGUUUUGCUGGAGCACUGUAGAGGCAGGCGGAAUUCCGGGUGUAGCGGUGGAAUGCGUAGAGAUCCGGAGGAACACCGAAGGCGAAGGCAGUGUCCUGGGGAGUACCUGACGCUCAGGUGCGAAAGCCAGGGGAGCGAACGGG
rnacentral:rRNA from 1 species